UGGGGAAUAUUGGACAAUGGGCGCAAGCCUGAUCCAGCCAUGCCGCGUGAGUGAUGAAUGCCCUAGGGUUGUAAAGCUCUUUCACCGGUGAAGAUAAUGACGGUAACCGGAGAAGAAGCCCCGGCUAACUUCGUGCCAGCAGCCGCGGUAAUACGAAGUGGGCUAGCGUUGUUCGGAUUUACUGGGCGUAAAGCGCACGUAGUCGGACUUUUAAGUCAGGGGUGAAAUCCCGGGGCUAAACCCCGGAACUGCCUUUGAUACUGGAAGUCUUGAGUUUGGUAGAGGUGAGUUGAAUUCCGAGUGUAGAGGUGAAAUUCGUAGAUAUUCGGAGGAACACCAGUGGCGAAGGCGGCUCACUGGACCAUUACUGACGCUGAGGUGCGAAAGCGGGGGGAGCAAACAGG
rnacentral:rRNA from 1 species